CCGCAAGCUAGCAAAGUUUGGGGCACGAACUUUAUCAAGCUUACGGUAGUGUGACACAUUUCAGCAUGGGUUGCUUUGAAGGUUGC